rnacentral:rRNA from 1 species
GUUGGGAGCUCUCCCAUAUGGUCGACCUGCAGGCGCCGCGAAUUCACUAGUGAUUCGUAUUACCGCGGCUGCUGGCACGUAGUUAGCCGGACCUUAUAAAUGGUACCGUCAUUGAUUCUUCCCAUUCUUUCGAAGUUUACAUACCGAAAUACUUCAUCCUUCACGCGGCGUUGCUGGGUCAGGCUUUCGCCCAUUGCCCAAAAUUCCCGACUGCUGCCUCCCGUAGGAGUCUGACCCGUUAUUCAGUGUCAGUGUGACCGACCGUCCUCUUAGACCGGUUACAGAUCGUAGCCUUGGUAAGCCAUUACCUUACCAACUAGCUAAUCUGCCGCAAGCUCCUCUUCAAGCGAAUUGCUCCUUUAACAACUGUCAUCAUAAGAUGCCGCUGCAUUAUGCGGUAUUAGCGUCCGUUUCCGGACGUUAUUCCCCACUCGAAGGUAGAUUACUUACGUGUUACUCACCCGUGCGCCACUCUAUACACUCUCCGAAGAGAGCUUUAAUCGUUCGACUUGCAUGUCUGAGGCACGCCGCCAGCGUUGAUUCUGAGCCAUGAUCAAACUCUAAUCGAAUUUCCGCCGCCGCCAUGGCGGCCGGGAGCAUGCGAC